ensembl:miRNA
GUGAUGCCCACUGGUCCCCGGUGCUGGCAGCCCUGGGAACUGCCCUGGGCUGACAACAGAGGGCCAGAAUCAGGUGGCAC